rnacentral:rRNA from 1 species
CGGGAGGCAGCAGUGGGGAAUUUUCCGCAAUGGGCGAAAGCCUGACGGAGCAAUACCGCGUGAGGGAAGACUGCCUAUGGGUUGUAAACCUCUUUUUUCAGGGAGGAAUCAAUGACGUGUACCUGAAGAAUAAGCAUCGGCUAACUCCGUGCCAGCAGCCGCGGUAAGACGGAGGAUGCAAGUGUUAUCCGGAAUCACUGGGCGUAAAGCGUCUGUAGGUGGUUUAAUAAGUCAACUGUUAAAUCUUGAGGCUCAACUUCAAAAUCGCAGUCGAAACUAUUAGACUAGAGUAUAGUAGAGGUAAAGGGAAUUUCCAGUGGAGCGGUGAAAUGCGUAGAUAUUGGAAAGAACACCGAUGGCGAAAGCACUUUACUGGGCUAUUACUAACACUCAGAGACGAAAGCUAGGGUAGCAAAUGGGAUUAGAUACCCCAGUAGUCCUAGCCGUAAACAAUGGAUACUAGAUGUUGAACAGAUCGACCUGUGCAGUAUCAAAGCUAACGCGUUAAGUAUCCCGCCUGGGAAGUAUGCUCGCAAGAGUGAAACUCAAAGGAAUUG